GAGUUUGAUCAUGGCUCAGGAUGAACGCUAGCGACAGGCCUAACACAUGCAAGUCGAGGGGCAGCGGGGAGGUAGCAAUACCUUUGCCGGCGACCGGCGCACGGGUGAGUAACACGUAUGCAAUCCACCUGUAACAGGGGGAUAACCCGGAGAAAUCCGGACUAAUACCCCAUAAUAUGGGCGCUCCGCAUGGAGAGUCCAUUAAAGAGAGCAAUCUUGGUUACAGACGAGCAUGCGCUCCAUUAGCCAGUUGGCGGGUAACGGCCCACCAAGGCGACGAUGGAUAGGGGUUCUGAGAGGAAGGUCCCCCCAAUUGGAACUGAGACACGGUCCAAACUCCUACGGGAGCAGCAGUGAGGAAUAUUGGUCAAUGGUCGGCAGACUGAACCAGCCAAGUCGCGUGAGGGAAGACGGCCCUACGGGUUUAAACCUCUUUUGUCGGAGAGUAAAGUGCGCUACGCGUAGCGUA
rnacentral:rRNA from 1 species